rnacentral:lncRNA from 1 species
GCGGAGGGAACUAAGCCGGAGGAAGAAGAGGAGUCUGAGAAGUCUAUGUCAGAGGUGAAUGAUGAGGAUGAUGAUGAAGAAGGCAGUGGCGAGGUUUUUUUUUUGGGGAUGUUUUGAUUUUUAGUUUGACUUGUUAUCAUUGUUAUGUGGUUUUUCUUGAAUUUGUUUGUUGAUUUAUUGUUUUUGGUUUUGUGCAGGAGGAUGAUGAUGAAUAGAAGUUGAAGGAAGAAAUUAGCAUAGUCAUGUUAGGCUGUGACAAUGUUUCAAACAACAUAUGUUAAUGCUUUGUGCUUCCAUGUUAAUUUUUUUGGAUGCUUUCAUCAUCUUCAUCAUCAUGUAAGAGAAUCAUGUUGCUUCUCCCUCGACAUUUUCUUAUGCCUGCCUUUCGAAGAAUUAAUAGCUGUAGGUGGGAGAUUCACUGCUCUAUAUGUACUGUGUUCUAAAGCUUAAUGAUUUAGCUAAGGCGUUCCAUCGUUUGUAGAAAAAUCCCAUGUUUUUUGAUGAUGAAUGGUGGUGAUGGUUUUUUCUUAUCUUUUGUAAUGCUAAGGAAAUUAGUUACAUUUGCUAUAGUUAAUCUUUAACGCAUUUGCAUGGUUAGGUCAUGAUUGGAUUGCAUGAUGUCAUAUGGCUUAUGAUUGAGCAGCUUGGAUGCUGAAGUAUGUUUUUAAUGAAUGGAAUGUCUUAAAAUAAUUUAUUUUGAUAAUAAGCACAUUGAAGUGCUAAAUUGUUUGUCAAUCUGUGGCUGCAAAUUGGUAGAGUAGAAUUCAUCCUUUGUGGCAUUGCCAGUGCUAAAUUUCAAGCAUUCAAGUGCAAUAUAAAUUAUCUUUUCUGGUUACAAUGUGUUUGGUGCCUUUUGCCUAAUCACAUAGUUAUUGUUUGGCUCAGAAAAAUGUUAUGCGUCAGCUCCUUUAUGCAGUUUUGAGGAAAACCUUUUUGACUUUUUACUUGAAGAUGGUGCUGCCGGACAAAAGUAUUUGCUGUUUUGCUCGCUGUGAUUAAUAGAUUAAACGGCCAAGCAAUUUCUAGUCAUUCGUGGGUUGGGUUAAUUUUUACAAAUUGGAAUAUGUUGGAUGGUUCAGCUAUAUAUGAUUGAUUUUUGGAAAUAAUCAGUUUAUUGGCAAUAAAUUAUGAAUAGUGUAGUGGAUCGAAAUAAAAGAUGGAGAAGACAUUUUGGAAUAAGAAUUGGGCUUAUUAUUAGAUGGAGACUGUUCAAUGAAUGUGUAAGAAAAUAUUUGAAGAAAAUAGUAAAAAAAGGUAUUUGGGUAAAUAUUAUAUGAGGUAACAUAUUACUAUGAUAGGCUAAUCAAGGUAUAUUUGAUUGUUAACGAUGAAGCAAGUACAAAUAGAUCUGUAUGUGUCGAUAAUAAAUGGUUGUAAUUUGAAUUUAUUGAGUGAUUGAAUAGGCGUGGUUGGUAGGAAAGAUAUUUCAUAAAAAGAAAAUAAAAAUACCCACGCGAGCUACGGACACACAAAGACAAUGGGAAACCUAGAAAAUUAAUUCGAGAGGGGUGCAAUUGAAAAAGAAAAUAUUACGAGGGCAGUAUCCAACAAUAACCUAACAAAAAGAAUACCAAUUAUAAAUAUUUUUUCUCAAAAUUGUCGGCAAAAUCCACAAAAGAAUAAUUUUUAUAUACAUGAACCUGUCAAAAAAUUGUCACUCUAAACAGGAUCAUCAACGUACAUAAAAAAGAUAAAAUUGAUUUAAUUCAUCGACCUCAAAAUAAUUACUAGCCUUUUUGAAAAUUGAUCAUUAUUCAUCAACCAAACGUUAUUAAAAUUAAAUUAUUGUUACUCCAUAAUCAUAACCCCAGCAAGAGAAAUCAAAAUCAGUCAAUAACCCCAAUAUUUUCAUUUUUUCAAAUCAGCAGCGGCUUUCGAGGAAGAGGAAGAAAGGCCAGUUGCCUAGUGACUUUUCUAGCCCGUAAAUCCACCAUGUAUUUUUUCAUUUUUUUAAUAAUCUAACAGCCGUUCGAUUUCUGACUCUAUACCCAACGGUAAACUAUUAUUUGUCCGUUAGUUACGAGUCCCCCUUUUAAAUGUAUUGACAGAACAGAUACGUGAUAUUUUUUUCGGUAUUGGAAGCAGAUUUUUCACUUUAGUGCCGGCAGAAUCUAAAUUCUUUUAAGAGCUAGAUAUUUAGAAUAAAAUAUUAAUAUAUUGUAAAUAUCUUCACUCAUUAUCGAGUCGGAUACGAUGGAUGUUGGGCACAUGGGCAACGGACGGCCAUCUCACAAAUUUAACGAAUUGUCGCGGCGCAGCGUGGUUUAAAGUUAUUCCUCUGUUUGUUAAACCUGUACAACACCAUUCUCCAUUCAAACGAGUGUUGAAUUUGACAAAGAAAAAUAAUCAUAAGAGUAACGUUGGGGUAAAUUUGAGGAACGUAGACAGAUUCUGACAUAAGCAAGCCUCCGUGAUGGGCAAUCAUAAUACAAAAAUAGUUAAAUUUCAACACAGAUACUGAAUAAAUAGGUCUCAAUUUUUGAACCUUCUCUUAAGAAAAACAUAUUUACUUUAAUUAUCUAAUAGACACAAUGUAUUUAAAUUAUUCUGCCAUUCAUAUAUAUACAUAUAAUGAUAUAUUUCACACAGAGAUCUUUCGUCACACAUCUGAUUCUCGGUGUUAUGUUUGUUUUGCCUUUGAACAUCUACUUAAUUCUGCAAGAAUUUAACCUUAUACAAUUCUUUUUAAAGUGGCCUCAAUUCUCUCUCACAUAGGUUAUUUCUUAAUUAAGAGCAACCCUUAUUAUGUGCUCAAAUUCUCAAUGCAUAAGAAUCAUUAAGAUCAUAACUCGUUCUUUCUCCUACAAGCAUCAUUAUAUCAUCAUAGAAAUAGAUACGAGGAACCCUUAUAGUGACCUGGCUUAGUCUUUAAUAACUGAGUUUUCCCUUUGAACUAUAACUCUAUGGGCUUUAGUCUUAUUUUCUUCUAUGAUUUUCUACUAUCUCUCUGUUUAAUUCUUUGGUUAGUGAAUUUACAAUGUUAUCCUUUGACUUCAUGUACUCAAUAAAAAUAACUACAAUAGAGAGUAAUUCCCUAAUGUUAAUUAUGUUUUUGACGUAUAUAUCUAGACUUACUAUUAUACAUAUUGCUUUGUGCGCUUCCAAUUACAGAUUGAUUAUCACAGUGAGUGCAAAUUGAUGGCACAAGUUUUGGCCAACUUGGAAUAUCCUCUAAGAAAUUUCGCAGCUAUUAUACUUUUUCACCAUAUUUAUCCAAUGCAAUGAAUUCAGAUUUUGUUAUAGAUCUAACUAUCACAGUUUUUUCUAGAGAAUUUCCAUGAAAUAAUUGUACCUGCUAGUGUAAACAUAUAGUCGUUGGUAGACUUUUAAGUCUUUCACAUAAGACAUCCACUUUGCUAUUCAUAUUAAUGUAUCAUUCUAGUACAAUUGAAUAUCUAGUAUAGUGCAUCCCGUAAUUUUGAGUAUGUUAUAAGCAUAUGAGUACCCUUACUAUUGCUUUCUUGUGGUUAGCCCCUGGUUACUGGUAUAUCUACUGAACUUCCUCAUUGUAAAAAUUGAGUUUGAUUUUAUAUAGCUUAUUAAGUACAUCAAAAUCUAUAUCACUCUAGAAUAUUCUAUUAAAGGAAUUUUAGUCACAACAAAAGUAUCUUUGUUGAAUUUACUAAGUUUUUUUUUCACAUAAUAUAAUUGACUAAGAAUAAGUCCAUUAGAAGUCCUUAAAUUUUUUAUUCUCAAGAUGACAUAUGCUAGAUCUCAUGUAUUUCAUGUCAAAUUUAUACUUCAACAUAUUCUUAGUAGACUUAACAAUUUUAUCAUUAUUCCCAACAUUGAGCAUGUCAUCAAUGUAAAGCCAUAAAAUAGCUUAGCUAUUUUCUAUCUCUUUGAUAUAUAUACUCAUAUUUCACGUUUGUUGAUCUUAAAACCAUUUGCCAUCAUCAUUUGGUCAAAAUUUUCUUAAAACCAUUUUGCAUAAUCCUUGGGUCAAAAUUCCCAUGCUUUCAAGCCAUAAUGACUUUACUAAUUUACAGACCUUAUUAUUAUUAUUAUUAUUAUUUUGGGAUUUUGGAGACUGUUCCAUAUAGAUUUCUUCAUCUAAGUCCCCAUUUAAAAGAUUUUUUUUACAUCCAUUUAAGUACUUCAAGAUUACAUAAAGUUGCAAUUGCAAGUAUCAUCCUAAUAUAAUUUAUUCUUGUUACAGAAGAAUAUAUAUCAAAAUCAUCAAAGCCUUUUUGUUGUUUAUAACCUUUAAUUACAACUCUAGCCUUAUAUUUGUUAAUUAAUCCAUCAACUUUCAUUUUUUCCUUGAUAUCACAUAGGUUUGCACCCUAGAUAAAGUUCCACAAACAUUUAAGUAUGAUUUUGUAAGAUAGAUUUAAUUUAACUGUUAAUGGCGUCUUUUCACAAAGUGUCUUCUCGUGAAAUUAUAAAUCUUCCUUGAAGCUUUGAGGUUCACUUUCCAGUAGCUCUUUUGUUACAUUUAAGUUCAAUCUCAACCUAUUAUUCAUAUUCUUAAAUUUCUUCUUGAUCUAGGUUCUGACUAUCUUCAACAAUAGGCUCAUGUGUUCAUUUAAUUGAACUCGAAUCAUCUUUGAAUUUACAAGUAAAUACAUGUUCAAAAAAUUAUGCAUUUCCUAAACAAUAGUUUUUGGUCCUAUCUUCAUAUUUGUAGGUGGAGAAAUGACCACUUUAGCAAGACACCUCAACACUCAUAAGAAUUUAUAGCAAGUUACUUUACCUUUCAAUAAUACGUAAGGAAUUAUCUCUUUUUCCUUUCAGGACACCUUAUUUAAAAGUAAUUAGCUAAUAAAAUCAACUUCUCUUUACAUAUCCUAAGGUACCCCAUAACCUAUCAAUAUUGCAUUCAUCAUUUUUUUCAAGGUAUGAUUUUUUUGUUAAGCAAUCCUAUUAGAUUGAUAUGAAUAAGGAGUUGUGAUUUGAUUUAUAACUCUAUAUUGUUAAUAGAGUGAUCCAAAUGGAACAACAUAUUCACCACCAUGAUUUCUUCUCAACACCUUCAUUUUUUUGUUUGGUUGAUUCUCAACUUCAUUUUAUAGAAAAUAAAUUUCUAAAUAAAUUCAUCCUUACUUUUCAACAAAUACACAUAACAAAAUUUUAUAUAGUCAUUAGUAUACAUUAAAAAAAAAUAUUUAUGCAUUUCUUAAUUAGAAUAUUAUAUUUAUGUGAAUAUCUGGUAUAUUCCACUUAUACACUAGAAAUCAAGAUGGAGGAAUGAUCACUUUAGCAAGAUACCCUCACACUUGUAAAUAUUUAUUAGAUGGCGUUGUACCUUUCUGUAAUUCAUAAGAGGUUUUCUCUAUUUCCUUUCGGAAUACUUUAUUUAAAAUGUAAUUAAAUAACUUCUCCUCACACAUCUAAGAUAACCCAAAACUUAUCAACAUUACAUUAAUCAUUUCUUUUAAGGUAUGAUAUUUUCUUUUAGCAAUCCCGUUAGAUUGAGCUAAAUAAGGAGAUGAGGUUUGAUGUAUGAUUUCUUGUUGUUAGCAAAGUGAUCCAAAUAGAACAACAUACUUACCACCAUGAUUAUUUCUCAACUCCAUCAUUUUAUUAUUUAGUUGAUUCUCAACUUCAUUUUUGUAUAGAAAAAAUUUUCUUUAUAGCUUUUUGUCUUUGUCUUUGUCUUUUAACAAAUACAUAUAACAAAAUUCACCCCUCGACUGAAUGGAUUUAAAGCACAUAUAUCGUUAUGUAUUAGAUCAAGUGGUUCAGUGCUCCUUUUAAUUAUUUGAGGGCAUACGAUUCCCUUAUGUUUUGUAUAAAUUUGUUAGUUUUGCCUCAACACAAGAUUCCCACAUAUGUUUUGUAUAAAUUUGGAAUAAGGAUAUAUGAUUUAUGUUAAUUAAUUUGUGAAAAUAAUUAUAAUUAACAUGUCCUAAUCUACCAUGCAAUAAAUCAAAUGACUCAAGAAAAUAAGGCUAAUAAUAUAGAUCAUGAAGAAAUUGCUUCGUUAUUCUUAAGUUCUACCUUAGCCACAAAAAUGAUAAUUUUCUUGUCAUUAUUUUUGUUGACUUAUUCAAUUUAAAGUCUUAUAAUUAGGUCUUCAAUGCUCAUUUCCUUUCUUUUAUACUUUGGAUAACUCUUCAAAUCUCAAUUUUGUUUCAAUUCAACAAAAAUUGAAUUGAAUGUCCACCCCUGCCCUAAGUGUCAGACAUUUUACUGAUCUUACUAGUUACCACUUUAACCAUUGAUGGUUGUUUGAUAUUGAUAAUAUAAAUACCUUCAAUUAUUUAAUUGAUAUUGUUGUUACACUAUACAGAUUUAAUUUCAAUUCAAUUCAAUCCUAGUGUAAUAAAAAGAAAAUGGCAAAAUCACCUUUAGUCUUUUCAUUUUUACUAAACAAAUUGGUGCGUUUUGAGAUUCAAUUUCUUAUUAACUCAAACACGAGUUUGAGUAUUUUAUGAUUAAAAGAGCUCACAGAGAAUAUUCUGAAUUAUCCAUGCAAGCAUAUUUCCUCAACAUAUAUCUUACUAAAAAUUGGCAUUAUAAUAAUUAUUUGUAUGUUAUUUUUUCAGCAUAUAUAUUGUUAAGCUUUCUUAUAUACUUAAGAGAUUUAGCAUGGGUUGUAAACAAAACAUUUGCAUUAGGUAUACACCCAACUUUCUUAGGGUGCAUUUGAAAGUAAGAUGCUAUAUCUUUUAAGUUGAAGUGGAUAAAACCCAUAACUGUGAAGUAAAACUGAGAAAAAAAAAACUGCUAAGCUGCCAAAACACAGUUGUAAGGUGUUACCAAACAACUUUUAUUUUUGAAUUACACAUCAUUCCCAAAUGCACCCUUAAAUUACUCAAUUGUUGUUUUCCUAUUUGUUUGUUAAAAUUAACACGUGUCCAUGUGUUUGCUUCAUCACUAAACACUGCCUCUUUAUUAUUCCCGUUGGAUAUGCCGAGGGCUGAUAGUUUCAUUCAUCUCCAAAGACUCAAACCUUUAGCAUAAAUUACUUAAACAAAAUAACAGUUGUAAAAUUUCGUUCCUUUUGUGUGUGUGUGUGUGUGUGUGUGUGUGUGUGUGUGUGUGUUACAAUUAUGAAAAUAAUAUAACUCUUAACAUCUUAUCAGGCUAGAGUAUGCUCUCACAUUUUGUUUAAUAUUGACUUAAUAUAUAUCAUACUCCAAAGUCCAAACAUAAGAUACAGCCCGUGCACGUUGAAAUUCCAUACCCACUACCCAGCAAAGAAAUAACAUGGGUUUUGUACUAUAUUUAAUUAAUUCCCACUAACCAACCCCUACGUAUAAUUAUUAGCCAAUUUUUUGAAUCAAAAUCUUGGUUUAUAAUAUGAUUUUUCAUCUCAUAAACAGAAUGUGCGUAAUUUCGUUUUUUUUUUCCUUUUUUUUAAUUUUUAAA